UACGUAGGGGGGCAAAGCGUUGUCCGGAUUCAUUGGGCGUAAAGAGCCGUGUAGGCGCCAGAUAGGUCAGCUGUGAAAACUCGGGGCUCAACCCUGAGAACGUCGGGUUGAAACCUCUGGCUAGAGCCGGAAGAGGAGUGUGGAAUUCCCGGUGUAGCGGUGAAAUGCGCAGAUAUCGGGAAGAACACCCGUGGCGAAGGCGGCACUCUGGGACGGUACUGACGCUGAGACGCGAAAGCGUGGGGAGCGAACAG
rnacentral:rRNA from 1 species